rfam:Felis catus isolate Cinnamon breed Abyssinian chromosome B4, whole genome shotgun sequence.
GCCUGGGUGGCUCAGUCGGUUGAGCGUCCGACUUCGGCUCAGGUCAUGAUCUCACAGUCUGCGAGUUCGAGCCCCGCGUCGGGCU